GUCUUGGUAGGAGUCAACAGUAGCUUCCCUGAAGAGCGGCCUCUUCUCCUUGCUGCCUGGAGUUGACAUUGUUUCCUGCCGGCAGAAUCAGUGACAUGCCAGCCCUAGCGGGAUGACUGGGUGUUCCGUCAGCGGGGAUGUGGUCAUUGACGGCCAAUGAGGACGAGGACGAGAGCGCUACGGCCCACUUCUUUCUUGGAGCUGGAGAUGAGGGGUUGGGCACCUGUGGAAUAGGCAUGAGGACAGGAGAGAGUGACAGUGAACUCCUUGAGGACGAGGAGGAUGAGGUGCCCCCAGAACCUCAAAUUAUUGUUGGCAUCUGUGCCAUGACCAAGAAAUCCAAGUCCAAGCCAAUGACCCAAAUCCUAGAGCGGCUCUGCAGAUUUGACUAUCUGACCGUUGUCAUCCUGGGAGAAGAUGUGAUCCUAAAUGAGCCCGUGGAGAACUGGCCACCCUGC
rnacentral:lncRNA from 1 species